GGGGGGGUUGAUGGUUUUCAAUUUUUUUUUUUUUUUUUUUUUUGGUUUUGGUUGAAGAUUAAGCAGGGAAGAAGAUGAAGAUGGGGAGAGAGAGAGGGGGAAAUGGACGAACAGAGGGAUUUUUUUAUUAUUAUUAUUUUACUUUUCUUUAUUAUUUUAAAAAAUAUUAAAUAAUUUUUUUUUAGUUUUUAAUUAUAUUUUAUUAAUUUUUUUUAUAGAAAAUGGGUCUCGAAUCAAGCCACGCCAGCAUUUAAUUGACAAGUAAACGACCAAGUAAUGGAAGGUAUAACAUUGGACCAAAUUCUAAAGAUGAGGUAUGACAUUGUCAAUUUUAAAAGAUGAUGUAUGAAAGUAUUGUGACACCAAUAGUUGAGGUAGUUUUUUGUACUUUACCCAAAAAAAAAAAAAAAAACCCUUCAAUUCGUCUUCCGCACCCCUUAUCUUCCUCCUCCUGUCUUCUCCCCCAUCUUCAUCUUCUUCACCCUGC
rnacentral:lncRNA from 1 species